rnacentral:rRNA from 1 species
UACGGGGGGAGCAAGCGUUGUUCGGAUUUACUGGGCGUAAAGGGCGCGUAGGCGGUCAGCACAAGUCAGUUGUGAAAUCUCCGGGCUUAACUCGGAAAGGUCAACUGAUACUGUGCGACUAGAGUGCAGAAGGGGCAACUGGAAUUCUCGGUGUAGCGGUGAAAUGCGUAGAUAUCAAGAGGAACACCUGAGGUGAAGACGGGUUGCUAGGCUGACACUGACGCUGAGGCGCGAAAGCCAGGGGAGCAAACGGG